GACGAACGCUGGCGGCGCGCUUAACACAUGCAAGUCGAACGGAAAGGCCUGCUUUCCCUUGUGGAUUGCGGGUACUCGAGUGGCGAACGGGUGAGUAGCACGUGAGUGAUCUGCCCCCAACUUGGGUAUAAGCCUGGGAAACUGGGUCUAAUUCCCGAUAGGACUGCAGGGUGGUGCCUGUGGUGGAAAACGAUUUUCUAGUGGUUGGGGAUGAGCUCGCGGCCUAUCAGCUUGUUGGUGGGGUAAUGGCCUACCAAGGCGGCGACGGGUAGCCGGCCUGGGAGGGUGGACGGCCACAUUGGGACUGAGAUACGGCCCAGACUCCUACGGGAGGCAGCAGUGGGGAAUAUUACACAAUGGGCGGAAGCCUGAUGCAGCGACGCCGCGUGGGGGAUGACGGCCUUCGGGUUGUAAACUCCUUUCGACCGCGAGGAAGCCACCUGGUUGGAAGGGUGGUGACGGUAGUGGUAGAAGAAGCACCGGCUAACUACGUG
rnacentral:rRNA from 1 species